GGGUUGUGAGGUUAAGCGACUAAGCGUACACGGUGGAUGCCCUGGCAGUCAGAGGCGAUGAAGGACGUGCUAAUCUGCGAUAAGCGUCGGUAAGGUGAUAUGAACCGUUAUAACCGGCGAUUUCCGAAUGGGGAAACCCAGUGUGAUUCGUCACACUAUCAUUAACUGAAUCCAUAGGUUAAUGAGGCGAACCGGGGGAACUGAAACAUCUAAGUACCCCGAGGAAAAGAAAUCAACCGAGAUUCCCCCAGUAGCGGCGAGCGAACGGGGAGCAGCCCAGAGCCUGAAUCAGUGUGUGUGUUAGUGGAAGCGUCUGGAAAGGCGCGCGAUACAGGGUGACAGCCCCGUACACAAAAAUGCACAUAUUGUGAGCUCGAUGAGUAGGGCGGGACACGUGGUAUCCUGUCUGAAUAUGGGGGGACCAUCCUCCAAGGCUAAAUACUCCUGACUGACCGAUAGUGAACCAGUACCGUGAGGGAAAGGCGAAAAGAACCCCGGCGAGGGGAGUGAAAAAGAACCUGAAACCGUGUACGUACAAGCAGUGGGAGCACGCUUAGGCGUGUGACUGCGUACCUUUUGUAUAAUGGGUCAGCGACUUAUAUUCUGUAGCAAGGUUAACCGAAUAGGGGAGCCGAAGGGAAACCGAGUCUUAACUGGGCGUUAAGUUGCAGGGUAUAGACCCGAAACCCGGUGAUCUAGCCAUGGGCAGGUUGAAGGUUGGGUAACACUAACUGGAGGACCGAACCGACUAAUGUUGAAAAAUUAGCGGAUGACUUGUGGCUGGGGGUGAAAGGCCAAUCAAACCGGGAGAUAGCUGGUUCUCCCCGAAAGCUAUUUAGGUAGCGCCUCGUGAAUUCAUCUCCGGGGGUAGAGCACUGUUUCGGCAAGGGGGUCAUCCCGACUUACCAACCCGAUGCAAACUGCGAAUACCGGAGAAUGUUAUCACGGGAGACACACGGCGGGUGCUAACGUCCGUCGUGAAGAGGGAAACAACCCAGACCGCCAGCUAAGGUCCCAAAGUCAUGGUUAAGUGGGAAACGAUGUGGGAAGGCCCAGACAGCCAGGAUGUUGGCUUAGAAGCAGCCAUCAUUUAAAGAAAGCGUAAUAGCUCACUGGUCGAGUCGGCCUGCGCGGAAGAUGUAACGGGGCUAAACCAUGCACCGAAGCUGCGGCAGCGACACUGUGUGUUGUUGGGUAGGGGAGCGUUCUGUAAGCCUGUGAAGGUGUACUGUGAGGUAUGCUGGAGGUAUCAGAAGUGCGAAUGCUGACAUAAGUAACGAUAAAGCGGGUGAAAAGCCCGCUCGCCGGAAGACCAAGGGUUCCUGUCCAACGUUAAUCGGGGCAGGGUGAGUCGACCCCUAAGGCGAGGCCGAAAGGCGUAGUCGAUGGGAAACAGGUUAAUAUUCCUGUACUUGGUGUUACUGCGAAGGGGGGACGGAGAAGGCUAUGUUGGCCGGGCGACGGUUGUCCCGGUUUAAGCGUGUAGGCUGGUUUUCCAGGCAAAUCCGGAAAAUCAAGGCUGAGGCGUGAUGACGAGGCACUACGGUGCUGAAGCAACAAAUGCCCUGCUUCCAGGAAAAGCCUCUAAGCAUCAGGUAACAUCAAAUCGUACCCCAAACCGACACAGGUGGUCAGGUAGAGAAUACCAAGGCGCUUGAGAGAACUCGGGUGAAGGAACUAGGCAAAAUGGUGCCGUAACUUCGGGAGAAGGCACGCUGAUAUGUAGGUGAAGUCCCUCGCGGAUGGAGCUGAAAUCAGUCGAAGAUACCAGCUGGCUGCAACUGUUUAUUAAAAACACAGCACUGUGCAAACACGAAAGUGGACGUAUACGGUGUGACGCCUGCCCGGUGCCGGAAGGUUAAUUGAUGGGGUUAGCGCAAGCGAAGCUCUUGAUCGAAGCCCCGGUAAACGGCGGCCGUAACUAUAACGGUCCUAAGGUAGCGAAAUUCCUUGUCGGGUAAGUUCCGACCUGCACGAAUGGCGUAAUGAUGGCCAGGCUGUCUCCACCCGAGACUCAGUGAAAUUGAACUCGCUGUGAAGAUGCAGUGUACCCGCGGCAAGACGGAAAGACCCCGUGAACCUUUACUAUAGCUUGACACUGAACAUUGAGCCUUGAUGUGUAGGAUAGGUGGGAGGCUUAGAAGUGUGGACGCCAGUCUGCAUGGAGCCGACCUUGAAAUACCACCCUUUAAUGUUUGAUGUUCUAACGUUGACCCGUAAUCCGGGUUGCGGACAGUGUCUGGUGGGUAGUUUGACUGGGGCGGUCUCCUCCUAAAGAGUAACGGAGGAGCACGAAGGUUGGCUAAUCCUGGUCGGACAUCAGGAGGUUAGUGCAAUGGCAUAAGCCAGCUUGACUGCGAGCGUGACGGCGCGAGCAGGUGCGAAAGCAGGUCAUAGUGAUCCGGUGGUUCUGAAUGGAAGGGCCAUCGCUCAACGGAUAAAAGGUACUCCGGGGAUAACAGGCUGAUACCGCCCAAGAGUUCAUAUCGACGGCGGUGUUUGGCACCUCGAUGUCGGCUCAUCACAUCCUGGGGCUGAAGUAGGUCCCAAGGGUAUGGCUGUUCGCCAUUUAAAGUGGUACGCGAGCUGGGUUUAGAACGUCGUGAGACAGUUCGGUCCCUAUCUGCCGUGGGCGCUGGAGAACUGAGGGGGGCUGCUCCUAGUACGAGAGGACCGGAGUGGACGCAUCACUGGUGUUCGGGUUGUCAUGCCAAUGGCACUGCCCGGUAGCUAAAUGCGGAAGAGAUAAGUGCUGAAAGCAUCUAAGCACGAAACUUGCCCCGAGAUGAGUUCUCCCUGACUCCUUGAGAGUCCUGAAGGAACGUUGAAGACGACGACGUUGAUAGGCCGGGUGUGUAAGCGCAGCGAUGCGUUGAGCUAACCGGUACUAAUGAACCGUGAGGCUUAACCUUACAACGCCGAAG
rnacentral:rRNA from 1 species